GACGAACGCUGGCGGCGUGCUUAACACAUGCAAGUCGAACGGAAAGGCCCUGCUUUUGUGGGGUGCUCGAGUGGCGAACGGGUGAGUAACACGUGAGUAACCUGCCCUUGACUUUGGGAUAACUUCAGGAAACUGGGGCUAAUACCGGAUAGGAGCUCCUGCUGCAUGGUGGGGGUUGGAAAGUUUCGGCGGUUGGGGCUGGACUCGCGGCUUAUCAGCUUGUUGGUGGGGUAGUGGCUUACCAAGUCUUUGACGGGUAGCCGGCCUGAGAGGGUGACCGGCCACAUUGGGACUGAGAUACGGCCCAGCCUCCUACGGGAGGCAGCGGGGGGGAAUAUUGCACAAUGGGCGGAAGCCUGAUGCAGCAACGCCGCGUGCGGAAUGACGGCCUUCGGGUUGUAAACCGCUUUCGCCUGUGACGAGGCGUGAGUGACGGUAAUGGGUAAAGAAGCACCGGCUAACUACGUG
rnacentral:rRNA from 1 species